rnacentral:rRNA from 1 species
GACGAACGCUGGCGGCGUGCUUAACACAUGCAAGUCGAACGGAAAGGCCUCUUUCGGGGGGUACUCGAGUGGCGAACGGGUGAGUAACACGUGAGUAACCUGCCCUUGACUUUGGGAUAACUUCAGGAAACUGGGGCUAAUACCGGAUAGGAGCUCCUGCUGCAUGGUGGGGGUUGGAAAGUUUCGGCGGUUGGGGAUGGACUCGCGGCUUAUCAGCUUGUUGGUGGGGUAGUGGCUUACCAAGGCUUUGACGGGUAGCCGGCCUGAGAGGGUGACCGGCCACAUUGGGACUGAGAUACGGCCCAGACUCCUACGGGAGGCAGCAGUGGGGAAUAUUGUACAAUGGGUGGAAGCCUGAUGCAGCAACGCCGUGUGCGGGAUGACGGCCUUCGGGUUGGAAACCGCUUUCGCUCAUGACGAAGCUUUGUGUGACGGUAGUGGGUAAAGAAGCACCGGCUAACUACGUG